CAGAGGGUAGUUAAAACAGAACACCGGCUUUGGGAGUCGGCGGCGGGAGUUCAAGCCUCUCCCCUCUGA
rnacentral:tRNA from 1 species